ACACUACACCCGGUGCAGAAGUCCGUACGGGAGAAGGAAAAAAAAAGUGCUGGUGAACAAAAUAUCGAUAGGAACUUGAUUUUACGGGUCGGUUUGUAAUCGUUCGUUGCUUCCAUUAUCGGAGAGAUAUUUGUCUUGCUUUUUUCAUCGACACACAGUGAUACCCCAGACGAAAAUCUUCCUCCCUUCAGACGGACAAUGCUCAUUCAGUUGUCUGGUGAACUGGCGAAAAUUUGCAAAGCUCGACCAAUAAUUAUAUUCUGAAGGACUCUGAACACAACGCAGGUUCCAUUACAUGCAAUCCAGUGUUUCUGUUCCUAUCGUGGGGUAUGAUGAAAUCUAUGCAGGACUGGAAAUGCCGGACAAAGUGAUAUAUGUAGUAGUCGAAUGAGCAAUAUGAAGAGAUAAGAGUCCUCGAGAGGAAUUCUGUGAACGAAGAAACUGUUGCUGAAUUCAAUCCUCGAAUCGAGCAUAGCAUUCCAAAGAGUUGUGAGAGGAAAGGAAUGGCGAUGAUUUGUGGUUGCCCGAUGGCGAUUUCUGGAGAACGAAAUCCAAUCAUUGAAUAUUCGCUUUGGGAGGGAAUGAGCUACAAUGUCAUUAUUGUGUACACGAUAAAGUCUCAUCGAAAAAGUAAAACUGUGGGGAAUGUGAUU